UCUAAGCACUAUGACCUACCCUUCAUAUUGAGUCACUUUAAGGAUGCUCAAGCACUUCUUUUCCUCCCAUGUCUCUCUUGUCUUUUCUUUUUAAUCUCUCUGUCUCCGUCUCUUGUUGUCUGUCUGUAUGCAGGAUACCUUCCUCCCUCAUAUGGAGUGUGGGACAGGGACUCUGAUGGGGGUGACCACGGAGAACCCUUUGUUCCAGGUGAACGCAGCUCUGCUGAGAAGGUGCGGGGUCCUGGUUCUGGACAAGCUGUCUGUGGAGGCGCUGGGGAUCAGCGUACUGGAGAAGAUCUCAGCGAACUCAUGGAUCAAGAUGAGUUAGACUCAGCCGAGCUCGGAUCCGAGUCUAUAUUCCUGUGUGACGGCGACGCCUGGGCGGGGCUCAACAGGCUCCAGUGAGCUGUCCAUGCCCGGGUGGGUGAGGCCCGUCCUGGCCAAUCAGCACCCGGCAGCGACCCUCCUCGGGACAUCAGGCCUUAGGAGGAGCAUGUGAAGGAGGGCCUUCAGAGGUCCGACAUCCGUCUAUGUCUACGCAAAGCAGCUGUUACAGAACUACCCACCACCAAAGGACCAAGCAGCAUGGAAGAGAGGACUGGACAUGGGAGGCCAGAGUCACCCUCCUGCCCGGGGCUGCCAGAGUCGCCCUCCUGUCCGGGGUCGGCGGCGAGGGUCCUCGCUCCAGAGGCGCCAUCUAAGUGGGCCAAGGUGGAGUGGGGUCCACAUCCCGCACCAGAGCCGCCACUGCGGCUAUAUGCCCACCCAGGCCCUCCCCAAUAGGGUUAGGUUUUGCGGCUGGAGUCCGCACCUUUGGGGGGGGGGGGACUGUCACGCCCUGACCUUAGAGAUCCUUUUUAUGUGUCUAUUUUGGUUUGGUUGGGGUGGGCAUACUAUGUUUUUGUGUUCUGUGUUUUCUAUUUCUGUGUGUUUGGCCGGGUGUGGUUCUCAAUCAGAGGCAGCUGUCUAUCAUUGUCUCUGAUCGAGAACUAUACUUAGGUAGCCUUUUCCCACCUGCGUUUUGUG